AUCCCUUCGGGGAUAUCCGAUAAAAUUGGAACGAUACAGAGAAGAUUAGCAUGGCCCCUGCGCUAGGAUGACACGCACAAAUCGAGAAAUGGUCCAAUUUUUU
rnacentral:snRNA from 1 species